UUUUCCAUCUUCUUUGCGGCUCCUCUCUUUCUGAGCGAUUCUCUAAAUCCAUCUUCUUUGCCAACACUACACCACACCACACCACCUCUCGAUUUGGACUACUGAGUUCAUUAAAUCUUUUUAAUUUGAGCUUGAUUUGGUAGAAUCGUAAGAUGCAAUCUAGAUCUGUUGGAAAAUGAAUGAAAAAUCUUACCUUCUUCAAUUGAAUUUGUUAUUGAUUUUGAGAAUACUGAAAUUGAUUUGGUAAUCUUAAUUUAUGCUUCUUGAUUAGUUGCUGAAGUUUGGAGCUCCUGAAACUCUGUUAUUGGUGAAUUUUUCGGUUGUUGUUACAGGGUUGCUGCUGCCGGAAAGGAAGCCUUGAUACGGCAAACCCUAGCUCUUGUUACUUUGCUACUUGAAUAUUGUGUUACUGAGUGACUGUGUAUGUCAGUUUUUUGCAACUGGUUGUUUUUUCAGUUUUUCAAGACUUGGUUUUUGGCUACUUGUUAGUUGUUAACUUGUUAUAUAUUGCUGCUUGUAAAAUAGGUUCUUAAAUCUUAACUGAAAAAAA